AUGAACGCUAGCGGUGUGCCUAAGAUAUGCAAGUCGAACGGUUCUGGAGCAAUCCAGAAUAGUGGCGGACGGCUGAGUAACACGUACAAACGUACCCCCUACUUGAGAAUACCUCGUCGAAAGACGAGCUAAUACUCGAUAGUUCCGGCUUUGCUGGAUAAAGGGCAUAACAGCCCGGCAGGGGAGCGGUGUGCGGACUAUCAGAUUGUUGGUGGGGUAACGGCCUACCAAGUCUAUGACGGUUAUCCGGUUCGUGAGAAUGGCCGGACAGAGGAGCACUGAGACACGGGCUCCACACCUACGGGUGGCAGCAAUUAGGAAUAGUUGGCAAUGGGGGAAACCCUGACCACGCGACACCGCGUGUAGGACGACGCUCUAAUCGAGUGUAAACUACUGUGGUAGGGGAAGAAGUUCCGAUUUAUCGGGAUUGACGGUACCUUACUAGAAAGUGUCCGCUAACUGCGU
rnacentral:rRNA from 1 species